AUGAAGCAGGUGCCCAACAUACAGACACCUCCACAGCCAAGAAACUUCUGGAUGACAGAUGAUGCUCCCUCCUGCUCCCGUCUUCCAGCUACAAAGUUUUGGACCUCUUUGGACCCUGGAUCGGCAACCACAGACCCUCUCUGCUCAGCUCAGCCCCUUACUAUCUGCUUCAGCUCCAUAUUCCCCUCACCCAUUCUCAGACUUGAGUUUACAAUAAAUGCCCUACCAGUUACCAUACUUACCUUUUCCUACUGUGAUAUUGUAUACUUGUUGUUAAAUACUUUGAUUUAUACCUUUUGAUAUGUCUAUUUUCAACAACAAAAAACAAAGAAAAGUAAAGUAAAAUUCAUAAAAACAAUUAUCGUUCUCCGGGUGUGAAAGGGUGAAUGUGGCACGUAAUGUAUGAGUGGUUGGAAGACUAGAAAGGCGCUAUACAAGUACAGGUCCAUUUACCAUUUACAUUUUCUGUAUAGCUUCCAUUACUGUCUUAAAACUUCUGUUAAUUUUUUUGUUGUGCAGCUCAAUCAGCACUCUGUUUAAAGUGAGCCCCUUUCAUUUGGCACAGUGAAUACCGUACAGAUGCGAGUUCUCCAUUAAACUGCUCCACAACGGCAGAGCUGACUUCAGUUUGCAGGCUGGAGCAGAUGUUUAGGCUUCUCAGCUUCUCUUCUGGCCUUUUUUGGUGGAAUUGGUCAUAAAGAGAGUAUCAGUCACAUGUUCUAAUAAUUGGAUGUGUUGUUGACUGUUGUGUUCUGUUGUCGUCUGGUUAUCCAGAUAAUAACAUUUUUUAAUGAGAAAAGUUUGAUUUUCUUCAAGACCCAAUUAGCCAAUACAUUUUUAGAUAGCAGAAUGUAUUGUGGUCCUUGGAUGUUCCUACUACUAAAACACACAAAAUUGUUGUCCCAACUAAAAAAACAAUAUUAAAGGCAUGACAGACCCACACAUCAUUUAACAGAGAGGCAUAGAGUCAAUGCUACCAACAAAUCUGUGAUUUCAAGAAAGAUGGACAAUUUUCCCUAGCAACAUACAAGGAAGUUACUAAUCAUUUAUUGACUGCUUACAUCCUUGAUACAGGCAAACAUUUGUACAGACACAUAAGUACAGAUAGUAAAAAUAUAAUUACAUUCUUUACAUUCUUAUUCUUUCUUGGGACAUCAAAGGCCAGUUUCCUAUUGCAUGUGCAACUACCACAGCUGGGUGGUUUACACACUAUUCAAUUCAAUUUUAUUUGUAUAGCACCAAUUCAUAACAAAAGUUAUCUCAGGACACUUUUCAAAUAGAGCAGGUCUAGACCGAACUCUUUAUAACAUUAACCCUUGUGUAUUGUUCAUAUUGUUGUUACUCAGCCAGCGUUUGUGGGUCUGAUGGACCCGUUGCAUUUUGUGGCUUUUAAUACCUCACAAUCAAACACUUUUAUGUUAAAAUACUGAACAGAUGUUUACCUUAUCCCAAUUACAAGCAGUAUAAACAAUAUAUAUGGUUAAUAUUUGCCCUUUACCUUUGUUAGGUCACAUUGCAACAUUGUUUGUCAACACUGUCUGCUCUCAUUUUCUGGCACAUUUGACCCUCUGUCCUCCUCCUGUCUAGGCCUGCUGUGUGUGUGUGUGUGUGUGUGUGUGUGUGUGGGUGUGGGUAUGGGUAUGGGUGUGGGUGUGGGUGGGUGCGGUAAACAGAACAUCAAUUUCCACACUUCUAUUAGCCCCGGGUCCAGUGGACCCGGACAUCUUAUAUGUAAUAGAAAUGUGUAGGGGGGGUGUAUGGUGUGUGGUCAUUAAAUAUGUAUUCUGAUAUAUGUUCUUCACAGAAAAUGAGCCAAAGUCAGUGGUCUCAGUUUGAAAAUUAAUUAAUUGUAUCAUUUUUCUUUAAUAAAGAAUGAAAACGGGUCCCACAGACCCAACACCAGGGUUAACACUAGUAACAAGUCAUACUGGAAUUGUGUCAAUGACAAAAAGUGGUGAAAUGCUCUCCUCACUGUUUGGUGGUGGUAACAGUUGUCAUUGAAGAAUGAUAGAUUAUCUAGUAUGCAUCCACUGGUUGUCUUGUUCUGUAAAUAAACAACAUACUUAACUGAUAUACCAUGGGUACGGAAAGUAUUCAGACCCCUUUAAAUGUUUCACUCUUUGUUUCAUUGCAGCCAUUUGCUGAAAUCAAAAAAGUUCAUUUUAUUUCUCAUUUAUGUACACUCAGCACCCCAUCUUGACAGAAAAAAACAGAAAUAUAGAAACUUUUGCAAAUUUAUUAAAAAAGAAAAACUGAAAUAUCACAUGGUCAUAAGUAUUCAGACCAUUUGCUCAGUAUUGAGUAGAAGCACCCUUUUGAGCUAGUACAGCCAUGAGUCUUCUUGGGAAUGAUGCAACAAGUUUUUGACACCUGGAUUUGGGGAUCCUCUGCCAUUCUUCCUUGCAGAUCCUCUCCAGUUCUGUCAGGUUGGAUGGUGAACGUUGGUGGACAGCCAUUUUCAGGUCUCUCCAAGCAGAGCCAGUUGGGUUUUCUCCUGCGUUCCUUCCAGGGGCAAACAAGACUGAUUGUUUUCCAGCUGUGCGGUCUGUAAUGGUAAAUACAUUUUUUGGUUUCAGCCACUACAGAUGCCCAACCUCCCCCUUCCUAACACAAGAUACCAGGUCCUUUUGUGUUUUUCAAAUUGUGAUGUCUAGACUCAACUUUGCACCUAAAUACAAGAUCCUGUAGGAUACCUCAGAUAUGAAACACACCAACGGGGGGUCAACGCCGAUACCUGCAAUAGACAAAAGGGUGUGAAAACACUUCCUGCAGGGGCAGACCCCUGCAGCAGACAAAGGGAUGUGAAAGAGGUGUUCCUCAGGUAUAAAUGUUUAGGUCUCCCCAUGCUCGGGGUCUUUCUUCAUCUUUGACCGCUCGCGUGUUGAUUAACCUUUUCUUUGCAAAGAAAAUAAAACCUUGUUGGCCGGCAGAAGUUCUCUAUUUCAUUCUUCAUCAGCAGAAGAGAAAUUUCCACAACAAGUCUUCCCUCGCGACUCAUUGAUCCAACAUGUUUGAAGCUGGUCAAUCAUCAUACAAGCCCACAAUAUAAGAAGUCUGCCUGAAAGUUCACUCUCUCUAACAUUGACUACUGUUGUUGCCUUCUGUGUAAGCACACUUGUUAAAAUCUGUAAGGAAAGGUAUGUGGUAGGAGGUUUAGGACUAGGUAAGUUUGGGGUACCCUGUAUU
ensembl:lncRNA